UUGUGAGGGGCAUGGUUGGAGGACCAACAAUGCUACCUGGGGCUAGAGAGAACCUUAAAAAGUUAAUCAUGUGUCGCUCACACUCCCUGCCGGGUUUGCAGCAUGUGCCCAUCUGUUUGCUAUGAGGUAUAUUGCUCCUGGGUUGUGGCCCUGAUUCUCUGGACUCAGAUAACGUUUUGGUCUUACUAGUAUCACAGAAGGAACUAGAUUCACAGCACAAGCCUACACAUGCCAAUUCAAAAGUAAAUCCAGCUGGAUUCAAUGAGACUUUAUCCCAGUGGUCUUCUGUGCCUUACACCAAAGGAUGCCUCACAAGCUCCGGCUUACCUGGAGGUGCGAACAAGCAAAAAGUGACUGGAGAAUAGUCUGCCCAAAAGAUCCAUAUCUGCGUCCCUGGUCGUCCAAGGUGUAGUGCUGUACGAAGGACAGCAGAGAAGACCUAGUUGCUGCUUGACAGAUGACAUCCAGGGGAACAGACCAGUCGAAUAAGACCCAAGUAGCAACUGAUCUAGUUGAAUGUGCCUUCACCAGUAGAGGGAAAGGCAUGCAUGCAAGCUGGUAAGACAGUUCAAUCGUAUUCACAAGCCACCUGGAGAAAGUCUGAGCUGAAACUUGGCAACCCUUCUGAGGAGUAACGAAUGAGACAAACAUCAACGCAGAGUUGCGCCAAGGGGCAGUACAGUGUAUGUAGAAUGCCAAUACCCUGUGAACAUCCAGGGAAUUGAGUCUCAGUUGUGCCAUCAGGGGGAGUAGGAAAUAAGGUUGCUAGGACCAAUGGUUCAGAGAGGUGGAAAGAAGAUACCACCUUCAGGAGGAAGGAAACAUUGCGGUGCAACACCACCCUGUCUUUAUGGAAGAUCAGGUACGGAGGGUCCACCCUAAGGGCCCAGAGUUCACUGACGUGUUGGGCUGAUGUGACUGCAAUGAGGAAAGCUACUUUCCAGGGAAGCAGGUGAAUGUCAACGGAUGCUAAAAGCUCAAAGGGUGGACUUGUGAGGUAAGAGAGGAUGAGUGAGAUGUCCCACGCCAGCACCAUGAUUUGGUCAUCUGGGAAUUUGUGCUGUAACCCCUUAAGAAAUUAUUUGACCAUGGGGUUCUGGAACCACACUGGACAGGUGGAUGGCAUGUAGGCAACUAUUGCCACCAGGUGUACUGGGAUGAGAUCUUGAGGAUGGAUUCUUUGAGAUGAAGUAAGUAAGAGCAGAUAACAUCUCAGGUGAGUUAGGUUAGAGCGAGGACUCUUGAGAGGAGAAAGGCUUGAAAGUGUUUCCACUUCGGGGAGUCAGAGGACUGUGUGGAGGGCUUCCUUGCAACCUGGAUCAUUUGUUAUAGGUGGACAGGAAAGGAGGCUGUAUCCUCCAUGCAGUGAGUCUGAGGCUGUGUAAGUAUGGGUGAAGGAUUUGCCCACUUGACUGCAUGAGGAGGUGAGGAUGAUGUGGGAGUAGUACAUGGGAGCUGGCAAAGAGGUGGAGGAGUGCCAGAAACCACGGGUGGUGAGGCCAGUAUGGGGUGAUGAGGAUGCAGUCUAGUGCUUCUUGUUGGAUCUUGAGGAGAAUGUGAGGAAGUAGGGGUAUUGGCGGAAAGAGGUAAAUGAAGAGGAAGGAAUUGCUAGUGACUGCAAAUGUGUCUUCAAGAGAGUUCUUCCCUAGAUCCCCUCUGGAGCAGAAGAGGAGGCACUGAGGAUAUUCUUUGAAUGCAAAGAAGUCAAUAGUGGGGUAUCCCCAUCUGCAGAAGAGGGGCAGCAGCAUGCAACUGUCCAAUUUCCAUUUGGGGGUGUCAGUGCAUCGUCUGCUCCAAGUGUUGGCUUCUAAGUUUGUGAUGGUUCAAAUAUGCAUGGCCUGGGGGAGAAUGUGAUGGUUCCAUAAGUCAUGGUAAGUUGUAAGAGGGCCCUGGAGCCGGCGCCUCCCUGCCUGUUUAUGUAGGCCUUCACCAUGGUAUUGUCUGUUUGUAUGGUCACCACUGAAUCACAGAGGAGAGGAGGGAAUCCUUUCAGGGCCUUGUAGAUUGCGAGAAGCUCUAGGAAGCUUAUAUGAUGACAAGCUAUGGUCAAGGGCCACAGGCCACUGAGACAGAGGUCUUGAACAAGCACUCCCCAGCUGUGUUUGGAGGCAUCUGUGCUGAGUAUAUGGGUAGGCCUUGGGGACUGGAAGGGUGUACCCACAGAGAGAUGAUAGAGCUCUGUCCACCACUGCAGAGAGUGUCAAACAUGAGCGGGGUCCGUCUGAUGAUCGAAGCUGAAUCGAAUCAACACUUGUGGGCGCGAAGGUGAGCAUGAGGAAGAACAUGUGUACUACACAUGUGUAGUAGUGGCCAGGUGACCAAGAUGGCAUUGCAAGUUCCUUGCAGAAGGGGCUGCAGUGGAAGCGACCUUGGUUUCCAGUGUAAGCAAUGCUCGUUUCCUGCAAGGAGGAAGAAACACUUCAGCAUAGUGAGAGUGGAAAAUAAGGCCCAGGAACUCAAUGAUGGUGGUUAUGGAUGCGGCUAAUGCUGAAGGAGAGACUGCCACAAUUAGCCAGUUGUAUGGCUAUGGGAAGAGUUGGACACCUGCCUCUUGAAGGAAAACUAUGACUAGUGCCAUGAAUUUUGUGAAGAUCCAUGGGGUGGGGAAAGGUGUUGAUCUGUCAGCAGACGAAGAAAGGCUGAGGGAGAGCUCGUGCUUAUGCAUAGAGUAUAAGGGCAGGGACUCCCACCUAAACUAAAAGAAGCUUGGAACAUUCUGAACUGGGUCUCUGUGGAGGCGCAAAGCUUUUUGGUGUAAGGCACAGAAGACUACGCAGAACAACAACUGCUUAAUAUUGAGAGCAUUUCAUUUACAUUUCACUUUGAAGGUGAUAGCUUAUAUUGAUUGUCUGAUAAGAAAGUUUAUAGCUCAUGUAGGAUUAAGGUGGGAUAAUUCAAACAUCUUUGAUAAAUUAUUGUUCUUCCUAGUAUUUCAUAUCCGAGCUUCUUAGUAAAUUGUGGUUACAAGAAGCCAGGAUUUCCCAGGUUCA